UAAACGACUCUCGGCAACGGAUAUCUCGGCUCUCGCAUCAAUGAAGAACGUAGCGAAAUGCGAUACUUGGUGUGAAUUGCAGAAUCCCGUGAACCAUCGAGUCUUUGAACGCAAGUUGCGCCCGAAGCCUUCUGGCCGAGGGCACGUCUGCCUGGGCGUCACGCAUCGCGUCGC
rnacentral:rRNA from 1 species